GACGAACGCUGGCGGCGUGCCUAAUACAUGCAAGUUGAGCGCUGAAGGUUGGUACUUGUCCCAACUGGAUGAGCAGCGAACGGGUGAGUAACGCGUGGGGAAUCUGCCUUUGAGCGGGGGACAACAUUUGGAAACGAAUGCUAAUACCGCAUAAAAACUUUAAACACAAGUUUUAAGUUUGAAAGAUGCAAUUGCAUCACUCAAAGAUGAUCCCGCGUUGUAUUAGCUAGUUGGUGAGGUAAAGGCUCACCAAGGCGAUGAUACAUAGCCGACCUGAGAGGGGGAUCGGCCACAUUGGGACUGAGACACGGCCCAAACUACUACGGGAGGCAGCAGUAGGGAAUCUUCGGCAAUGGACGAAAGUCUGACCGAGCAACGCCGCGUGAGGGAAGAAGGUUUUCGGAUCGUAAAACUCUGUUGGUAGAGAAGAACGUUGGUGAGAGUGGAAAGCUCAUCAAGUGACGGUAACUACCCAGAAAGGGACGGCUAACUACGUG
rnacentral:rRNA from 1 species